GAUGAACGCUAGCUACAGGCUUAACACAUGCAAGUCGAGGGGCAGCAUGAUUGAAGCUUGCUUCAAUCGAUGGCGACCGGCGCACGGGUGAGUAACACGUAUCCAACCUGCCGAUAACUCGGGGAUAGCCUUUCGAAAGAAAGAUUAAUACCCGAUAGUAUAGUAUUUCCGCAUGGUUUCACUAUUAAAGAACUUCGGUUAUCGAUGGGGAUGCGUUCCAUUAGAUAGUUGGCGGGGUAACGGCCCACCAAGUCAACGAUGGAUAGGGGUUCUGAGAGGAAGGUCCCCCACAUUGGAACUGAGACACGGUCCAAACUCCUACGGGAGGCAGCAGUGAGGAAUAUUUGUCAAUGGACGAGAGUCUGAACCAGCCAAGUAGCGUGAAGGAUGACUGCCCUAUGGGUUGUAAACUUCUUUUAUACGGGAAUAAAGUGGAGUAUGCAUACUCCUUUGUAUGUACCGUAUGAAUAAGAAUCGGCUAACUCCGUG
rnacentral:rRNA from 1 species